CUUUGUGUUUCACAUUGCUUCUAUGCUCAAAAAGAAGCCCAGAGUGACAUUUUUCCUUGAAGAUAUAGCUAUUCUGCUUAUAGUAAUUGAUCAGCAAUGUCUCAGGAAAUGAUUUUC